rnacentral:rRNA from 1 species
GAUGAACGCUGGCGGCGUGCCUAAUACAUGCCAGUCGAGCGAACAGACGAGGAGCUUGCUCCUCUGACGUUAGCGGCGGACGGGUGAGUAACACGUGGAUAACCUACCUAUAAGACUGGGAUAACUUCGGGAAACCGGAGCUAAUACCGGAUAAUAUAUUGAACCGCAUGGUUCAAUAGUGAAAGACGGUUUUGCUGUCACUUAUAGAUGGAUCCGCGCCGCAUUAGCUAGUUGGUAAGGUAACGGCUUACCAAGGCAACGAUGCGUAGCCGACCUGAGAGGGUGAUCGGCCACACUGGAACUGAGACACGGUCCAGACUCCUACGGGAGGCAGCAGUAGGGAAUCUUCCGCAAUGGGCGAAAGCCUGACGGAGCAACGCCGCGUGAGUGAUGAAGGUCUUCGGAUCGUAAAACUCUGUUAUUAGGGAAGAACAAAUGUGUAAGUAACUAUGCACGUCUUGACGGUACCUAAGCAGAAAGCCACGGCUAACUACGU